rnacentral:rRNA from 1 species
GAUGAACGCUGGCGGCGUGCCUAAUACAUGCAAGUCGAGCGAACAGACGAGGAGCUUGCUCCUCUGACGUUAGCGGCGGACGGGUGAGUAACACGUGGAUAACCUACCUAUAAGACUGGGAUAACUUCGGGAAACCGGAGCUAAUACCGGAUAAUAUAUUGAACCGCAUGGUUCAAUAGUGAAAGACGGUUUUGCUGUCACUUAUAGAUGGAUCCGCGCCGCAUUAGGUAGUUGGUAAGGUAACGGCUUACCAAGGCAACGAUGCGUAGCCGACCUGAGAGGGUGAUCGGCCACACUGGAACUGAGACACGGUCCAGACUCCUACGGGAGGCAGCAGUAGGGAAUCUUCCGCAAUGGGCGAAAGCUUGACGGAGCAACGCCGCGUGAGUGAUGAAGGUCUUCGGAUCGUAAAACUCUGUUAUUAGGGAAGAACAAAUGUGUAAGUAACUAUGCACGUCUUGACGGUACCUAAUCAGAAAGCCACGGCUAACUACGUG